ACAAAGUUUACUCAGAGUGUUAAAGAUUGAAUUUGUGAUCUGCAUUCCAUUCAUGCGGGACAUCCUUUGCCUAAUGGAUGAAAGACUGACAUCACCUCAACUCCUCAGCUCCUGGUGAGACCUAUUCUACUCUACUUCUAGCAAUCAAAUGAAAUAUCCUGUAGCUUUCCUAAUCGAAGCUGUCUGCUCUGUCCUGGUGUUAGAAAUACGUGUUUCAAUAAGUGCUCCUGUGUGAUGCGCAGAUUCUUCAGCUUCAGGUGCAGAUCCUUCAACCUUCCGUUGUAGACUUAUGUACUCCCAUGGGACACUGCAGUGAGGUCCAGACCUUCAACAAAAUUCUUUGGUCUCCAGGGUGCAGACAGACUCUCCUGACUGUUCCUCAUCUGACUCUGUGGGUGACUAUUGUAAGUCAAUCUUGU
rnacentral:lncRNA from 1 species